GCCCUUGGUCAUGCGGAAAAUCUUCGGCAGCGGCCACGGCGGCGUGUAGCUCUCGAGCCGCGCGACGGCGCGCGGCGACAGGAUCAGCAUGCCGUGCGCGGCUUCGCCGCCCAGCGCCUUCUGCCAGGAGAAGGUCACGACAUCGAGCUUCGGCCAGUCGAGCGGCUGCGCGAACGCGGCGGAGGUCGCGUCGCAAAUCGUGAGGCCUUCGCGGUCAGCCGCGAUCCAGUCGGCGUUCGGAACGCGCACGCCGGAGGUGGUGCCGUUCCAGGUGAACACGAUGUCCGAAUUCUUGUCGGCCUUCGACAGAUCGGGAAUCUCGCCGUAGCCAGCGUGGAGCUUGACCACGUCCUUGAGCUUCAAUU
rnacentral:misc_RNA from 1 species